rnacentral:rRNA from 1 species
GAUGAACGCUGACAGAAUGCUUAACACAUGCAAGUCAACUUGAAUUUGGGUUUUUACCUUAGGUUUGGGUGGCGGACGGGUGAGUAACGCGUAAAGAACUUGCCUCACAGCUAGGGACAACAUUUGGAAACGAAUGCUAAUACCUAAUAUUAUUAUAAUAGGGCAUCCUAUAAUUAUGAAAGCUAUAAGCGCUGUGAGAGAGCUUUGCGUCCCACUAGCUAGUUGGAGAGGUAACGGCUCACCAAGGCGAUGAUGGGUAGCCGGCCUGAGAGGGUGAUCGGCCACAAGGGGACUGAGACACGGCCAUUAGUGCUAAGGGAGGCAGCAGUGGGGAAUAUUGGACAAUGGACCAAGAGUCUGAUCCAGCAAUUCUGUGUGCAAGAUGAAGUUUUUCGGAAUGUAAAGUGCUUUCAGUUGGGAAGAAAGAAAUGACGGUACCAACAGAAGAAGUGACGGCUAAAUACGUG